AAGCCCGACAAGACAACCGUUUUAUACACGGCGAGGUUGGAGUUGUGAUGUUUCCGUUAUUUUUCCAAGAUCCUCUGUGGGAGAGCCUUUCCUGGUCCGCCAUGUCUUGUGCUGUGUUUUUUGUUUUUUUUUGGAAUGAUUGCGUUUGUUCCAUAGCGUUAUCAUAGACGAGUGCGAGCGCCGUGUGACCUCAUUGCAGUUUUAAAGAGUAGCACCAUUUUGCUAAAUUCAGAGGCGGGCGCAUCAGUUCAUUUUGCCGGCCCGUCCUUCUCCAGCGGCCGGGACGCCCGUCAGUCCGUCUUUCUCAAUCUGUCAUUCUUUCAAGCCCAACCAAAUUCCGUCAUCGUUGCUUUCACGGCGCUUCCGUCGUUGCUCAACGAGAGUUCGGCGCUGCUAUUUGAAGUCACUUGUCUGUCAGUCCUUCAUGGUUAAAUAUAAAAAUAAUUCAAUAUGUAAAUGGUUCAGGAAAAUCUUAAAUUCAUUGAACGGAUGAUUUUAUUCAGGAGGCUACUCAAAUGUCAUGGCCCCAAAAACCCGGAGUCUCCCCUCCACCGGAACGGUUCGACCCAACCUGUCAUCUGCCACCAAGCAUCACGUCACUUGAAAACAAUGUCAAAGGAAGUUCAGGAUUGAGAACGUCUGAUGUUGAUCAUUUUUGUGCACAGUGUAUUCAUUAAUAAUGUAUUUCGUUUUGUUUGUUUGUUUUUUGUUGUUUUUAAUAAGUCAGACAAUGAAAGCACAGCACUCCGUUAUAGUCAGUCGGUCCCGACCCGGUUACUGACGAUGACGUUAACGGUUGGAAAGCCACUUCCGUCGCUGCUUGGUCCGUCCCUUUCUCAACGUUUCCAGUCAAUUGUUGGCAAAACGGGCGUCCGUCGUUGACGGGUUGUCGGACCUUCUCACCUCAGGUUGAACUAAACCAAACGCACGAACAAUACGGUCUAGUUUUUUUUUUCUGUCUUCCCCUCAUCAAGGAGAACUCAAGGCUGCUUAGUCUUGACCUGAGAAUCGAAAGCUAUUUCUGGGAGAUGAUUUCUCAGCCAUGCGACACCCCCCCCCUCCCCCCCACCAAACAAAAUCAUGUCAUCCAUCUGCGGCGUUUAAUGAAGCCGUGAUAUCUUGGUACGAGUCCAUUGGCACCUAACUGGAAACGGUUUUCCUAUUAUAUGAAUGCUCUCGAUGUCGAGUUUGCGUUUCCAAAUGUUCUAAGUGGAAUCCGCAAGCUGUGUCCCUGACGCAGAACUGCUCUUUGACUUUGGUCUGUAAUCAAAAUGUUCACGUCACUUGGGAAAUAGGCCUUUUUCAAUUUGCUUUGGAACGAGUUGAGAUUUUGCAGGCCUAAAUUAUUCAAUAAGCCGGCCAAAUGAAAAAUGUGAACCGAUCUUGUGUGUUGUGCAUCAGCACGCGGCUGAUGUGGCUCAGCAUGGAGGUUAACGGGGAAUCAUUUGGACUUUCACUCCUGUCGGCUGAUGAUGUCUGUUGUCUGUCAUUCCUCUUGUUAUACUGUCUUACAGCUAAUGUGUAUGAAAGUGCGGUUAUAUUUAUGAAAUAAAUACAUUUUUAAGCAAGA